rfam:Picea glauca, whole genome shotgun sequence.
UCAUAUGUACAUUCCUAUAACAUUAAUGUACUAGAUCACAUUAGAACUCUCCAGUUAAGCAUGCUUGGGAUAGAUUAGUACUAGGAUAGGUGACCUCCUUGGAAGUCCUAGUAUUUUACAUGCC